CGGCAACAGCUCAAAUUUGAAAUCUGGCGUCUUCGACGUCCGAGUUGUAAUUUGCAGAGGAUGCUUUUGGUGAGGUGCCUUCCGAGUUCCCUGGAACGGGACGCCAUAGAGGGUGAGAGCCCCGUCUGGUCGGACACCGAGCCUCUGUAAAGCUCCUUCGAC
rnacentral:rRNA from 1 species